ACGGGAGGCAGCAGUGAGGAAUAUUGGUCAAUGGGCGAGAGCCUGAACCAGCCAAGUCGCGUGAAGGAAGACGGCCCUAUGGGUUGUAAACUUCUUUUGCAUGGGAAUAAAGUGAGGGACGCGUCCCUUUUUGUAUGUACCAUGCGAAUAAGGAUCGGCUAACUCCGUGCCAGCAGCCGCGGUAAUACGGAGGAUCCGAGUGUUAUCCGGAUUUAUUGGGUUUAAAGGGUGCGUAGGCGGGCGAUCAAGUCAGUGGUGAAAUGGUGUGGCUCAACCAUAGCAUUGCCGUUGAAACUGGUUGUCUUGAGUGCGAAUGAGGUGGGCGGAAUGUGUCAUGUAGCGGUGAAAUGCAUAGAUAUGACACAGAACACCGAUUGCGAAGGCAGCUCACUGGGACGCAACUGACGCUGAGGCACGAAAGUGCGGGGAUCGAACAGGAUUAGAUACCCUGGUA
rnacentral:rRNA from 2 species